AACGAACGCUGGCGGCAGGCUUAACACAUGCAAGUCGAGCGAUGAAGCUGGAGCUUGCUCUGGUGGAUUAGUGGCGAACGGGUGAGUAACACGUGAGUAACCUGCCCUGGACUCUGGGAUAAGCGUUGGAAACGACGUCUAAUACCGGAUAGGACCUCGGAUCGCAUGAUCUGGGGUGGAAAGUUUUUCGGUCUGGGAUGGACUCGCGGCCUAUCAGCUUGUUGGUGAGGUAAUGGCUCACCAAGGCGUCGACGGGUAGCCGGCCUGAGAGGGUGACCGGCCACACUGGGACUGAGACACGGCCCAGACUCCUACGGGAGGCAGCAGUGGGGAAUAUUGCACAAUGGGCGCAAGCCUGAUGCAGCAACGCCGCGUGCGGGAUGACGGCCUUCGGGUUGUAAACCGCUUUUAGUAAGGAAGAAGGGGCUUCGGCCUUGACGGUACUUGCAGAAAAAGGACCGGCUAACUACGUGCCAGCAGCCGCAGUAACAC
rnacentral:rRNA from 1 species